UUUGGAAUGACCAGUGAUUUCAGCUCUCACUCCCUUCUCAUCAGCACGUGUCUACAGUUGCAAAAAAUUAUGCAGAAGAGCAGAUCAGAUUGACGCAGUUUGAUAAGGAUUCAGCCCACCAUUGCUGACUUUGAAGAUGAAGGAGAGGGACCAUGAGCCACAGAAAACCAGCAGCCUCUAGGAACUGGAAAAAGCAAGGAAAUGGAUUUUCCCCUAGAGCUUCAUCCUCCCUCCCAGCACAAGGUCUUAGCACUGUUUCAUCUUCCCAGAAGGCUUUUCCCUCUUCCACCCUGCUUCUAGGUUCUCACUCUGUAGCCCAGUCUGGAGUGCAGUGGUACAAUAAUGGCUCACUUCAGCUUUGACCUUCCAGGCUCAAGCGGUCCUUCUACCUCAGCCUCUGGAGCAACUGGAACCACGGGUGCACCCCACCACGCCCAGCUAACUUUUGUAUUUUUUUGUAGAGACAGGGUUUUGCCAUGUUGCUCAGUCCCAAUAUCAUCACCAGAUGAGAAUAUGUAUGGAUUCAUGAACAAGAAAAUUGCUU
ensembl:lncRNA novel transcript